GGCACUGUGGCACAGUCGGGUGUGGCCGGCUCUGGUUUUCUGGUGGGUCUGGGGUUUGAGUCCUCCUUUGGUGCCU
rnacentral:tRNA from 1 species